rnacentral:rRNA from 1 species
AGUGUAGGUGGUUUUUUAAGUCGGAUGUGAAAUUUCUCGGCUCAACCGGGAAGGGUCAUUCGAUACUGUUAAACUUGAGGGCAGUAGAGGGAGGUGGAAUUCCCGGUGUAGUGGUGAAAUGCGUAGAUAUCGGGAGGAACACCAGUGGCGAAAGCGGCCUCCUGGACUGUACCUGACACUGAGGCUCUAAAGCGUGGGUAGCAAACAGGAUUAGAUACCCUGGUAGUCCACGCCUUAAACGAUGGAUACUAGGUAUGGGGGGUAUCGACCCCUCCGUGCCAAAGUUAACACCUUAAGUAUCCCGCCUGGGGAGUACGGUCGCAAGACUAAA